UUUGUUUAGAUAUCAAUGAAUGUGCUGUAAAUUUGUCUCUGUGUCCAAAUACAUCAACUUGUACCAACACCAAUGGCUCAUACAUAUGCGACUGUCUGCCAGGCUAUAAUGGGACUAACUGCACAGAUAUAAAUGAAUGUGAGACAAAUAACACAUGCCCCCAGAAUUCCACUUGUAAUAACAUUAUUGGCUCCUACAUAUGUAAC